UCUUGACUAGUAUAUCGGUUGAGUACACGCGCUUGUCAAAAUCUCCUUUGCUUCGCGCGAAAGCUGGGUUCGACUCCCAGGUUGAGAG